ACUGCUCAGUAACACGUGGACAACCUGCCCUUAGGUUGGGUAUAAACCCGGGAAACUGGGUAUAAUACCCGAUAGGUCUCGAUUGCUGGAAUGCAUCGAGAUUUAAAGCUCCGGCGCCUAAGGAUGGGUCUGCGGCCUAUCAGGUAGUAGUGGGUGUAGCGUACCUACUAGCCUACGACGGUACGGGUUGUGAGAGCAAGAGCCCGGAGAUGGAUUCUGAGACACGAAUCCAGGCCCUACGGGGUGCAGCAGGCGCGAAAACUUUACAAUGCUGGCAACAGCGAUAAGGGAACCUCGAGUGCCAGGUUACAAAUCUGGCUGUCGAGAUGCCUAAAAAGCAUUUCAUAGCAAGGGCCGGGCAAGACCGGUGCCAGCCGCCGCGGUAACACCGGCGGCUCGAGUGGUAACCGUUAUUAUUGGGUCUAAAGGGUCUGUAGCCGGCCGGAUAAGUCUCUUGAGAAAUCUGGCAGCUUAACUGUCAGGCUUUCAGGAGAUACUGUCUGGCUCGAGGCCGGGAGAGGUGAGAGGUACUUCAGGGGUAGGGGUGAAAUCUUGUAAUCCUUGAAGGACCACCAGUGGCGAAGGCGUCUCACCAGAACGGACCUGACGGCAAGGGACGAAAGCUAGGGGCACGAACCGGAUUAGAUACCCGGGUAGUCCUAGCCGUAAACGAUACUCGCUAGGUGUCGGCCACGGUGCGACCGUUGUCGGUGCCGUAGGGAAGCCGUGAAGCGAGCCACCUGGGAAGUACGGCCGCAAGGCUGAAACUUAAAGGAAUUGGCGGGGGAGCAC
rnacentral:rRNA from 1 species